rnacentral:rRNA from 1 species
AUUGAACGCUGGCGGAAUGCCUAACACAUGCAAGUCGAGCGGGGGUAGCAAUACUUCAGCGGCGGACGGGUGAGGAACACAUAGGGAUCUGCCUUUAGGUGGGGGAUAGCCAGGGGAAACUCUGGGUAAUACCGCAUGAUCUCGAGAGAGCAAAGGGGCGCAAGUCUCGCCUUUAGAGGAGCCUAUGUCUGAUUAGCUAGUUGGCGGUGUAAUGGACCACCAAGGCGAUGAUCAGUAACUGGUCUGAGAGGACGAUCAGUCACACCGGAACUGAGACACGGGCCGGACUCCUACGGGAGGCAGCAGUGGGGAAUAUUGGACAAUGGGCGAAAGCCUGAUCCAGCAAUUCCGCGUGUGUGAAGAAGGCCUUCGGGUUGUAAAGCACUUUAGUUGGGGAAGAAACAGCUUGGCCACACCAAGCCUUGACGGUACCCAAAGAAUAAGCACCGGCUAACUCUGUGCCAGCAGCCGCCGUAAAAC